rnacentral:lncRNA from 1 species
AAAGGUUUAAAAAAGAAAUAUUGGAAUUAGAAGUUCAAUAUUUAGAUUAGAGUAGGAGGCUACUAAACGCCCAAUUGGAUUAUCUUGCAUUUCUCUCAAUUAGUAAGUACAAUUAAUUUCAUCUUUCUUUUGCUUGUUUUUGAUAAGACAUUAAGAAGUGGAAUUUUUUUGAGUUGAUAUCAGUAGCUUGAUUAUUAAUUAUUGAGAUUCCAUUUGCUAUAGAAUUUAUUAACAAUUUAUUUAAGAUCUAAGUUUUGAUUAGAAUUUGAUUUAGAAUUUCGUCUUGGAUUUGGUUAAAAUUAGAAUUUUCUUAAGAUUUGAUUUAAAACUUAUCUAAGAUUUGUUUAAGAUUUUGGAUUUCAUUAGGAUUUUAUUAGGAUUUGACCUUAAGUUUGAUUAAGAUUCAAUUAGGGUUUCAAUU